rnacentral:lncRNA from 1 species
AGAGAGUCAGUUCCUUAAUUUUUGUCUUCUCUUUAAUAAUAAUAAAUAAAAAAACUGUUCUUGGGGAGAAGACGGAGAAGAACUUGAGAACUGUAUGAGAGUUGUUCUUCACAUACAAAAUCUCAGGUUUUUUUUUUUCUUUCUAAAUCUGAAAUUAUAGGUGGGGAGAUUAUUAGCCAUUAUUUAUUUUGUUUCAUGAGAAGAGAAAGAGAGUUUCGGCGACUGCAAAUUUGUUCGGUGAGUUGUAGCGAAGAAGACAAAAUUCGGGCAAGUAAUCCAGAUUGGAGUAAGAACUAUACAACUCGACGGUGGGUUGUUUGUGGGUGUCAGAUUAAUCGAAAAUUCUGACCUAAUCUGAAAAAUUUGGAGUUCUGAAAAGGGGGAAAUCGGAGAAAAGUAGUUCGGUUUUCAUCUCGGUGUCUCCGACGACUAGAAAAGGUAAUGAUACUUUGCCUUAUUCCGAUUGAGAUAUUUAACCAAAAUCUGGGCAAAUCUUUGUGAAGAUAGCAUAUCCCUAAUUUCAAUUUCAAAACUGGUUGGCUUUAGAAAUUGAGAAUCGACUUUCUCCCAAAAUUAAAAGUAAAUUAUGAUAUGUUGUAUAAUUUAUUUUUGUGUACGUAUGUCAUUUUUGGCUGGAGAAAGAAGUUUAUAAACCAUAUUUAUGUACAUUGUCUUUGAAUUUUUAUUCUGUGUACCAAACAUUUAUUGAGUUGCAGUGUGUUGGUGUCGGAUCCCGCACCAGAAGUACGCGACCAACCAAAGAUUGCCACGUAGUCAAGCGGGUGGCCCAUAAAGAUGAAGCCCAUUGGGCCCAUGAACCGAGGGGACGGUCGAAGUGGUUGUCACCACUUCGAGAGUCCGAAGUGACUGCACUGAGAUGUGAGUUCGGUAUAUAAGACGCGGAUAGGUCGGUUCAAGGACACUUGGGCCAAAAAGGCGAGGCCCACAAAGAUCAGAGUCAACUCAAAUUCAAACGUUGAGAAUUAAAGUCGAAGAAUCAAAACGGACACAUUUAAGAGGGAAUAAUUGUACUUAAUUAUUCAUUUUAAUGUUAAAUUCUCUAUGUAUAAAUAUAGAGGCCAAUGGCCAUGUAAAGGGGAUCUUCCUCUCGAGAGAGAAAUAAUAUAGCAAUUCUAGUAUCAAAUUUACAAGUUCUUACGUAUUCAUUUUUGUCCCUCAAGAAUAAUCUUUCCCACUUAACAAAAUACUUGAGUGUGUAAAUCCGACAUCCACAUUUUGGCGCCGUCUGUGGGGACAUCAGGAUUCUUGAGUGGUCAGAUUUCUUCUUUUCUACAUUUCCGAGAUAAGCGACAAUGUCCGGAGGAGACGCCGUU